rnacentral:rRNA from 1 species
AUUGAACGCUGGCGGCAGGCCUAACACAUGCAAGUCGAACGGACCCUUCGGGGUUAGUGGCGGACGGGUGAGUAACACGUGGGAACGUGCCUUUAGGUUCGGAAUAGCUCCUGGAAACGGGUGGUAAUGCCGGAUGUGCCCUUCGGGGGAACGAUUUAUCGCCUUUAGAGCGGCCCGCGUCUGAUUCGCUAGUUGGGGAGGUAAUGGCUCACCAAGGCGACGAUAAGUAGCUGGUCUGAGAGGAUGACCAGCCACAUUGGGACUGAGACACGGGCCAAACUCCUGCUGGAGGCAGCAGUGGGGAAUCUUGCGCAAUGGGCGAAAGCCUGACGAAGCCAUGCCGCGUGGAUGAUGAAGGUCUUAGGAUUGUAAAAUCCUUUCACCGGUGAAGAUAAUGACUGUAGCCGGAGAAGAAGCCCCGGCUAACUUCGUGCCAGCCGCCGCAGUAACAC